GGAGAUAUGGCUCUGUUGGUAGAGUGUUUGCCUUGUACGCACAAGGGCCUGGGUUCAAUCCCCUGCACCA
rnacentral:tRNA from 1 species